GAACGCYGGCGGCGUGCCUAAUACAUGCAAGUCGAGCGGACCGACGGGAGCUUGCUCCCUUAGGUCAGCGGCGGACGGGUGAGUAACACGUGGGUAACCUGCCUGUAAGACUGGGAUAACUCCGGGAAACCGGGGCUAAUACCGGAUGCUUGAUUGAACCGCAUGGUUCAAUCAUAAAAGGUGGCUUUYAGCUACCACUUACAGAUGGACCCGCGGCGCAUUAGCUAGUUGGUGAGGUAACGGCUCACCAAGGCGACGAUGCGUAGCCGACCUGAGAGGGUGAUCGGCCACACUGGGACUGAGACACGGCCCAGACUCCUACGGGAGGCAGCAGUAGGGAAUCUUCCGCAAUGGACGAAAGUCUGACGGAGCAACGCCGCGUGAGUGAUGAAGGUUUUCGGAUCGUAAAACUCUGUUGUUAGGGAAGAACAAGUACCGUUCGAAUAGGGCGGYACCUUGACGGUACCUAACCAGAAAGCCACSG
rnacentral:rRNA from 1 species